ACACAAGCUCUGCUGUCAGCCAUGUGGAAUGAAGCAUGCCGGGCCUCAUCUCGGACCUGCACACUGCCCCUCAUUAUGUUCAUGAUCGGGAUACCUGCUUUGGGAGCCUUCUGCUGCUGCGUGAGAUCCCUGGCUACCCUGGAGAGACAUCAGACAACAAGUGAGAUGCCCAAGAGCCCUAGCUGUCUUUGUCUUUGCAGCCCAAGCUCCAGACAUGUACUGAAGAAGCUUUAAGGAUAAAUUCAGUCCCAACUACUCCCUGGCUACAACUAUGAGACAGACCCUCCCAAGUCAGAACUGCCUAGCCAAGCUCAGGCAACUCCAAGAUUUAAGAGCAAAAUAAAAGAUAGUUAUUGCUUUAA
rnacentral:lncRNA from 1 species